AUUUUUGCAAAUUGUUUUCCUGUAAAUAAUUUUUAUUUUUCACGCGUUUAAAAAUAUAAAAGUACUAACUAGCCACUACAGAUUAUAUAACGGAUCGUAUAAUGAGUGCUGCGUUAAUCGUUUUGGUCUUGCAGACUGAAAGGAAUAAAUAUGCACUGGAAAAAAUAAAAAGACGAAGGCUGCGAGAUGUAUCUAAUCCCUUGGAAAUUGCAGAUGCCGCGUUCAUUUCAUACUACCGACUUAAUAAAAGUGCUUUCUUUAUGGUGCUGGAAAUUGUUGAGCCACAUCUUAAACAAUCUUCAAUUCCUGCGACGUUGCAGCUAGCCGCAGUUUUGCGUUUUCUUGUCGAGAAAUAGAAAGGGUCACUUUUCAAUGAAUGCAAUGAUUAUAUGCGAUUACAACUUAGUAAUAAAAGCUGUCGACGCCCGUCGUCCAGGAUCAAGUCAUGAUGCUCUGAUCUGGAGCAUGAGCAAAGCUUGGAACUAUUUCCAAAGAAUAUAUGACGGAGGGGAGCGUUCUUCAUGGCUUUUAGGAGAUGCUGGUUAUGGAUAAGAGCCUUUUCUUCUGACGCCCUAUAGAGAUUCUCAAGCAGGAACCUUAGAGCACUCAUUGAACCUAAAACAUUCCUCGGCUCAAAACGUAGUAGAGAGGACAAUCGGCGUUUUGAAAAAUCGUUUCAGGUGUUUAGCUCGGUCUCUUAAAUACCAGCCAAAUAAAGUGGUGCAAAUAAUAAAUGUUUGUUGUGCAUUACACAACA